rnacentral:misc_RNA from 1 species
UCCGGUUUAUCACCGGCAGUCUCCUUUGAGUUCCCGAUCAAAUCGCUGGCAACAAAGGAUAAGGGUUGCGCUCGUUGCGGGACUUAACCCAACAUUUCACAACACGAGCUGACGACAGCCAUGCAGCACCUGUCUCACGGCUCCCUAAGGCACUCCGGCAUCUCUGCCAGAUUCCGUGGAUGUCAAGGCCAGGUAAGGUUCUUCGCGUUGCAUCGAAUUAAACCACAUGCUCCACCGCUUGUGCGGGCCCCCGUCAAUUCAUUUGAGUUUUAACCUUGCGGCCGUACUUCCCAGGCGGUCGACUUAACGCGUUAGCUACGGAAGCCACGCCUCUCGGGCACAGCCUCCAGGUCGACAUCGUUUACGGCGUGGACUAC